CUGAAACAACAUCUCAACCUUGGCCAUAUUGAUCACCAUAACUGGUCUACUCUGGCCUCCAAUGGGGAGGUCUGCAGACACACCAUCUAUAACACUGCUGUCUCCUUUGAGAACGCAGCAGGAUCACCCUGGAGGAGAAAAGAUAACGCAGAAAGAAUCGUGUCUUGCAGAAUGUACCACCUAAGGAGUCUUUCUGCUGUGCCUUUUGCAACUGGACAUGUCUAUCUCAUAUUGGCCUUUUUAGCCACCAGUGUGCUUGUGACAAACAAGGGUAGAGCCCUCCUCAAAUCUUCGUUUGUGAAGUCUAGCCAUGAUUGAAAAUGAGGAGAAUAAAAUUCUGAACACAGCAUUUUCCAUCUCUGGAUUUAGAUCUAAUGUCAUUCAUAAUGAAGCAGUUCCAAUGAAGUCAGUAGGUUUUACCCUAAAGGAAAAAACACAUGGAGGACAGGAUUUGCACAGAAUUCAGUACUCUGUAGUGUUUGCUUUAGGGACCACCGUGGUCUCUCUCCUCAUCACAGCUGGGAGCAAUGCACAUCACCCUUCAAAUCCCUACUCUCCUAAAACAAAUGUUUUUCUACCUCUUGAAGGCAAGGGUUUCCAGUGGUUCUAGGUGUUCCCUCUCCACUGCAGUUUCUGUAGGAUUUCCUCUGUGAAAACUUUAUAAUUUCUAAGUUCACUGUUUCUCUCGGUCACUCACUCUCUGUGUUUAAAAACAGUUUCACUUAGGCAUUGCUCAAUCAGUGCUAUUCUUACAUUCUUUUAUUUUUGGAGCUGGAACUUUGGACCUCUAAGAUGGCUCUGAGUAGUGACCCUCACUAAGAAGCAGUGAGCUCCAAGGCCCUUGGAAAUGGAGAGAGAUUGGGGUGACUCCUCUUCUGUUUGCUCUCCUUGCCAGACCUUGCAAUGAGCGAGCUGUCCUAUGCCCAAAAAGCAGGCUUUGGUCAGGUGUUCAGGGCUGAGCACUAUAGCCAGGCCAGAUAUCACCUGAAGACAUUUUCUUGGAUUUUUCAGGGUGCAGACUCCGCUGUGACCGCUGGCCUCAGCUGCUCCAGAGCUCAAUGGCUGGCUGGGUGCAGCAGCAGGCUGAGGAAACAUGGCCAAGCUGGGAAGAGAGAAACCAGGUUUAUUUGAUGAGUUUCUAACUUUAAGAAGACCUACAUUCAUUAACAAUUGCUGACUGAAGUCAAACAACCCCAGCAGACCAAACUUUUGGACGCCAGAAGUCAAACCACAGUCAGACUUGCGAACAGUGAGUACAAUACAUGGAGAGGGAUUUUGAAACGCUGUUUCAGUCAACUUUUCACAGCAGUGAAAAUGAUGUAACCAUUUAAGGAGUUUGAGGUUCUUAAAGGGUUUCAUGCUGUUGGAGCAGAUGGAAACUGCCACAGCCACCUCUUCUGCUCUGCGGGACGGAGCGCGUCGCUCUGCGCAGGGACAACAAUUACUAUCUCCUGUCACCACAACUCACACGUGACCAGGAGGGCGGAUGCUGCAGCCCAGCAGGUGCAGGAGAUUCCACGAUGUGUUAUCUCUGGCCACGGACUGUCCUGUUUCCAGGAACACUCUUCUGAUGGAGGAGAUAAGAGCCUGCCAGUAACUUCUCUUUGUGCAAAGGAGUUGGCAAGAAUGUCUUCAUCAAAAUGGCUUUGUAGUUGCAUUAGUUUCUAAGAAGCGCAGGAGGAAAUAUAGAUACAGCUGCAUGUUAUAUCCUAUAUUUUUUUUACAUAUUCUUUUUAGGUAAUUGUGUCAUAUUUGCUGUGUAGAUGGUAAAUUAAAUGUGCUAUGAAAUGGUACCCAAAUAAAUCAGUCCUGCAAAUGCAAAUGAGCAAAUGUGCUGAAUCCAGUAACACACUAGCAGGUGUGAAGGUGGUCACUUUUUCCCAGGGCUGAAAAGAUGGGCUUCCAACAUUUCAAUUUGUGCAUCCUUUGAAUCUCUUUUUUAGGUGGAUGGAGGAAGGGACCUUAUCGUGUAUAGCAUCCAUUAGGAGCUCCCCAUAAUCCAACCCAAAUCAGCACAGGUUUACAGCAACACCCAUUUAUACAUUAUUCUUAAAAAUAAUUGGAAAUAAGGUUUCAUAAAAUUUCUGCCCUGAAUUUCAAGCUCCUGUUUUGCUGUCAGCUCUUGAUCUCUGGCAUCCUUCCAGGCUGGGGCUGAAUGAGCACUGGGGCUUUACAAGCAGGCAAGAGUGGAAACUAAGGGAUAAGGGCCUGAUCCAAAGGCCAUUUCUUCCAGUUAGCCUGGAACAUUUCCUUCAGGCCAAAGUAAUUAGGGCCACUGUACCACCCUUCGCUGUUCAGGCAACACUGAGAUCUCAAAGUAUGUGCAUUCAGCUCUUCACAACAGCAACUCUUGCCCUGUGUUAGCCCCCUCAGCCCCCCAGCAAACACUUUCACUACCUUUUUCGUUAUCUGUAGCAUCCUCCUGGGCACCGUUGGUGCAGGCAGGUGUAAAAGGAUUAAAAAGAAGAAAUGGGACUUGUAAAUGAGUUGAGAUCUGAAAGUGAAGGGAAGGUCACUGCUUCUAGACCACACUCACGAGCUCCUUCUAGGCAGACUGUGUUUGGGGUUUCUGGGAUUCUGUGGUGAAGAAGGCAGGUGAUGUGCUGGUGUAUGAGGACAGGUAACUGGGCUUUCAGAAAGAUCCUAACAUUUGCAUUGCAAAUUGGUGUUUAGGCUGCUUCAACUCUAUUGUUGGUUAUCACUCCUUAUGACUCUCUUUCUUAGAUUUAACUGCUAAUAUUGCCUCUGGAAUUCAUCUCCAAGAUUCAGUCUGUCCAUUACUUUGGCCCCUGGUUGGAGAAGGAAUUUGUUACCCCAUCUGUGCUCGACUCUAACACCACAAGUUGGGACAUGUACUACUUCUGCUGCUUUUGAAAGCAGAAGUUCCUCUUGGUUCUGGAAAUAUUGCACUCGUGGGCCUCGCAGAGGAUUCUUGCUGUCAUGUGGAGUAAUGGGAAGGGUUGGAGAAGUAGGGCCUGAAAGGCACAGCCAUGAGACUUGCCGAAAUGCCUGACUGCUGUGGAGGGGCAGGCUGGUCCGGGUGUCCAACAGCUGACCCGAGAUCCCAAGUGCCCAGACAUUCACCCCAUCCCAGAGUGCUGGAGGAGACCCCACAGUAACUACGGUCCUGACAAUCAGCUGGUUCUGCAGAGGACAGCCACAACCCCCAGGUCCUGCUCAGGCUGCACACAAAACUCUGUGUGUUGCAAGAGGACUACAGGCCACCCUUGGGAGCCCUUGAUGGACAGCUUCCCAGCCUCCUGGCCCCACAGCAUCACCCUGAACUCAGCAUUGCUGCUGGGCCAGAGGCCUUCCACGAAUUAGCCUGAAACACGAAUGCUUGUUUUCCUCAUGCACUGAAUAAGACACUGACAAUAUCUAAUUGUCAAUACCCCUCCCCUGAGAGACAUGCAACAGCAUUGCUCCUCAGGGCAUAUUCCCCACUGCUGUAUUUAGAACAGUUUGAAAAGACCGAAUUUUAAAAAUAAUAAUCUUUCCAAAAGUUCCCCACCCACCAGCACUCCUCUGCCAAAUUGCAGUUUGAAGAAAAUGAAAAAGGACAAGUUUAUACAGUCUGAUGAACGGGUGUUCAAAAUGGAACCUGAACAUCAUAAUUCUUGCAAAUGUUCACUGAUAAUGGAAAGCAAUGGUGGUGAUGGCAUCAUGCCCAGAGAGGUCCUGUUGGUUAGAUGGUUGUGGGGUUGUUUCUUUUCACAGUUUAUAUUAAAGGUGAAAAUGUCUGUUUUCUUCAGUGUUUAAGAGUACUUUUCUCCCUCUCCUCUUAUGGACGGAACUUUUAAAUAAAGCUACACAUCAGUUAGUCUACAAUAUUUAGUGCAAAUCCUUUGCACAGUGUGUUUAGUUGUGUUUCUAUUCAUGAGACUCCCCCUUUAUGCAGAUGUUAUUUCUUAGAGUUGUUUGUGAACAUUUGCCAUCAAAGAUCAAGUGGACUUUGCUGCUUCUAUUUGUUUACUUGAUUUAUUUAUCAAGUCACUUUUGCUGCUGCUAUUUAGCAUUUGUAAAGGAUCAACUAAAUAGAUGGCAUCAACCAUGUUCCAAGAUUUCAUAGACAGUAUUUGCCCUAUGUAUGCAUAGUAAGACUAAAGUGAAUGAUAAUAUUAAAUAAGUAUUGACUUACAAACUUUAGAAAAUCGAAGGAGGCUGAAAUGUCACGGUCGGACGUUUCUUUAAAAUUUAUAUG